GUGAGGAAUUUUCCGCAAUGGGCGAAAGCCUGACGGAGCAAUGCCGCGUGAAGGAUGAAGGCCUAUGGGUUGUAAACUUCUUUUCUCAGAAAAGAAUUAUGACGGUAUCUGAGGAAUAAGCAUCGGCUAACUCUGUGCCAGCAGCCGCGGUAAGACAGAGGAUGCAAGCGUUAUCCGGAAUGAUUGGGCGUAAAGCGUCUGUAGGUUGUUUAAAAAGUAUUCUGUCAAAGAUUAGGGCUUAACCCUAGAUAGGCAGAAUAAACUUUUAAGUUAGAGUUUGGUAGAGGCAGAGGGAAUUCCCGGUGGAGCGGUGAAAUGCGUAGAUAUCGGGAGGAACACCAAAGGCGAAGGCACUCUGCUGGGCCAAUACUAACACUGAGAGACGAAAGCGAGGGGAGCAAAUGGGAUUAGAUACCCCGGUAGUCC
rnacentral:rRNA from 1 species